rnacentral:rRNA from 1 species
UGGGGAAUAUUGGACAAUGGGCGCAAGCCUGAUCCAGCCAUGCCGCGUGAGUGAUGAAUGCCCUAGGGUUGUAAAGCUCUUUCACCGGUGAAGAUAAUGACGGUAACCGGAGAAGAAGCCCCGGCUAACUUCGUGCCAGCAGCCGCGGUAAUACGAAGGGGGCUAGCGUUGUUCGGAUUUACUGGGCGUAAAGCGCACGUAGGCGGACUUUUAAGUCAGGGGUUAAAUCCCGGGGAUCAACCCCGGAACUGCCUUUUAUACUGGAAGUCUUGAGUAUGGUAGUGGUGGGUGGACUUCCGAGUGUAGAGGUGAAAUUCGUAGAUAUUCGGUGGAACACCAGUGGCGAAGGCGGCUCACUGGACCAUUACUGACGCUGAGGUGCGAAAGCGGGGGGAGCAAACAGG